UUAACUCAAAUUUGUAUGGAGUUGGAUCGCGUCUAUGUUUGCCGCUAGGGGCGCUGUUUCAACUGCAUACAAAUUUGAGUUA
rnacentral:pre_miRNA from 1 species